rnacentral:rRNA from 1 species
GAUGAACGCUGGCGGCGUGCUUAACACAUGCAAGUCGAACGGGAAACCUUUUAUUGAAGCUUCGGCAGAUUUAGCUGGUUUCUAGUGGCGGACGGGUGAGUAACGCGUGGGUAACCUGCCUUAUACAGGGGGAUAACAACCAGAAAUGGUUGCUAAUACCGCAUAAGCGCACAGGACCGCAUGGUCCGGUGUGAAAAACUCCGGUGGUAUAAGAUGGACCCGCGUUGGAUUAGCUAGUUGGCAGGGUAACGGCCUACCAAGGCGACGAUCCAUAGCCGGCCUUAGAGGGUGAACGGCCACAUUGGGACUGAGACACGGCCCAGACUCCUACGGGAGGCAGCAGUGGGGAAUAUUGCACAAUGGGGGAAACCCUGAUGCAGCGACGCCGCGUGAAGGAAGAAGUAUCUCGGUAUGUAAACUUCUAUCAGCAGGGAAGAUAGUGACGGUACCUGACUAAGAAGCCCCGGCUAACUACGUG